GACGAACGCUGGCGGCGUGCCUAAUACAUGCAAGUCGAACGCUUCUUUUUCCACCGGAGCUUGCUCCACCGGAAAAAGAGGAGUGGCGAACGGGUGAGUAACACGUGGGUAACCUGCCCAUCAGAAGGGGAUGACACUUGGAAACAGGUGCUAAUACCGUAUAACAAUCGAAACCGCAGGGUUUUGAUUUGAAAGGCGCUUUCGGGUGUCGCUGAUGGAUGGACCCGCGGUGCAUUAGCUAGUUGGUGAGGUAACGGCUCACCAAGGCCACGAUGCAUGGCCGACCUGAGAGGGUGGUCGGCCACAUUGGGACUGAGACACGGACCACACUCCUACGGGAGUCAGCAGUAGGGAAUCUUCGGCAAUGGACGAAAGUCUGACCGAGCAACGCCGCGUGAGUGAAGAAGGUUUUCGGAUCGUAAAACUCUGUUGUUAGAGAAGAACAAGGAUGAGAGUAACUGUUCAUCCCUUGACGGUAUCUAACCAGAAAGCCACGGCUAACUACGUGCCAGCCGCCGCGGUAA
rnacentral:rRNA from 1 species